AUUGAACGCUGGCGGCAUGCCUUACACAUGCAAGUCGAACGGCAGCACGGGAGCAAUCCUGGUGGCGAGUGGCGAACGGGUGAGAAAUAUAUCGGGACGUGCCCAGUCGUGGGGGAUAACGUAGCGAAAGCUACGCUAAUACCGCAUACGAUCUAUGGAUGAAAGCGGGGGAUCGCAAGACCUCGCGCGAUUGGAGCGGCCGAUAUCAGAGUAGGUAGUUGGUGAGGUAAAGGCUCACCAAGCCGACGAUCUGUAGCUGGUCUGAGAGGACGACCAGCCACACUGGGACUGAGACACGGCCCAGACUCCUGCGGGAGGCAGCAGUGGGGAAUUUUGGACAAUGGGCGCAAGCCUGAUCCAGCAAUGCCGCGUGCAGGAUGAAGGCCUUCGGGUUGUAAACUGCUUUUGUACGGAACGAAACGGCGAGCUCUAAUACAGUUUGCUAAAGACGGUACCGUAAGAAUAAGCACCGGCUAACUACGUGCCAGCCGCCGCGGUAA
rnacentral:rRNA from 1 species